UACGUAGGGGUGCGAGCGUUGUCCGGAAUUAUUGGGCGUAAGGGCUCGUAGGCGGCUUGUCGCGUCGGGAGUGAAAGCCCGCUGCUUAACGGCGGGUUUGCUUUCGGUACGGGCAGGCUGGAGUACGGCAGGGGAGACUGGAAUUCCUGGUGUAGCGGUGGAAAUGCGCAGAUAUCAGGAGGAAACACCGGGUGGCGAAGGCGGGUCUCUGGGGCCGUUUACUGACGCUGAGGAAGCGAAAAGCGUGGGGUAGCGAAACAGGG
rnacentral:rRNA from 1 species